rnacentral:rRNA from 1 species
GGGAAUUGGCAUGGGCGAAGCCUGAUCCAGCAAUGCCGCGUGUGUGAAGAAGGCCUUAGGGUUGUAAAGCUCUUUCAGCGAGGGAAGAAACCCAGGUGCUCAUAUCGCUCUGUCCUGACGUUACCAUAGCAAGAAGCACCGGUAACUCCGUGCCAGCAGCCGCGGUAAUACAGUAGGGUGCGAGCGUUAAUCGGAAUUACUGGGCGUAAAGGGCGCGUAAGCGGCUCGAUAAGUCGGAUGUGAAAGCCCCGGGCUCAACCUGGGAACUGCGUUCAAUACUGUCGCGGCUAUAGUGUGGUAGAGGGAAGUGGAAUUCCCUGUGUAACGGUGAAAUGCGUAGAUAUCCGGAAGAACACCAGUGGCGAAGGCUGCUUCCUGGACCAACACUGACGCU